AACGAACGCUGGUGGCGGGCCUAAUACAUGCAAGUCGAGCGAGAAAGCCUUUCGGGGUGAGUAGAGCGGCGCACGGGUGAGUAACACGUAAAUGAUCUACCCUUUUGUGGGGGACAACUCGGGGAAACUCGAGCUAAUACCGCAUAAGCUAGGUGAAAUUGAAAAAACUUAGGAAAGGGGGCUUCGGCUCUCGCAGAAGGAAGAGUUUGCGUAUCAUUAGCUUGAUGGUGGGGUAAUGGCCUACCAUGGCAACGAUGAUUAACUGGUCUGAGAGGAUGAUCAGUCACACUGGAACUGAGACACGGUCCAG
rnacentral:rRNA from 1 species